CCCUUAGAUGUUCUGGGCCGCACGCGCGCUACACUGGCUGCUCCAACAAGUUACCUGGGCUGACAAGCAUCCGGGAAAUCUUGCAAAGGCAGUCGUGAUGGGGAUAGAUUCUUGUAAUUUUUGAUCUUCAACGAGGAAUUCCUAGUAAACGCAAGUCAUCAGCUUGCAUUGAUUACGUCCCUGCCCUUUGUACACACCGCCCGUCGCAUCUACCGAUUGAAUGGAGAGGCAAAAUCUUCGGACCGUGACGCUUGGGAGUCAAAUCUCGGGCUGUCGUGGGAAGUGGAUUAAACCUUUCUAUUUAGAGGAAGGUAAAGUCGUAACA
rnacentral:rRNA from 1 species